rnacentral:rRNA from 1 species
UACGUAGGGUCCGAGCGUUGUCCGGAAUUAUUGGGCGUAAAGGGCUCGUAGGCGGUUUGUCGCGUCGGGGAGUGAAAACCAGGUGCUUAACACCUGGCCUGCUUUCGAUACGGGCAGACUAGAGGCAUUCAGGGGAGAACGGAAUUCCUGGUGUAGCGGUGAAAUGCGCAGAUAUCAGGAGGAACACCGGUGGCGAAGGCGGUUCUCUGGGAAUGUCCUGACGCUGAGGCGCGAAAGCGUGGGUAGCAAACAGG